GACGAACGCUGGCGGCGUGCCUAACACAUGCAAGUCGAACGGAAAGGCCCUGCUUUUGUGGGGUGCUCGAGUGGCGAACGGGUGAGUAACACGUGAGUAACCUGCCCUUGACUUUGGGAUAACUUCAGGAAACUGGGGCUAAUACCGGAUAGGGGCUCCUGCUGCAUGGUGGGGGUUGGAAAGUUUCGGCGGUUGGGGAUGGACUCGCGGCUUAUCAGCUUGUUGGUGGGGUAGUGGCUUACCAAGGCUUUGACGGGUAGCCGGCCUGAGAGGGUGACCGGCCACAUUGGGACUGAGAUACGGCCCAGACUCCUACGGGAGGCAGCAGUGGGGAAUAUUGCACAAUGGGCGGAAGCCUGAUGCAGCAACGCCGCGUGCGGGAUGACGGCCUUCGGGUUGUAAACCGCUUUCGCCUGUGACGAAGCGUGAGUGACGGUAAUGGGUAAAGAAGCACCGGCUAACUACGUG
rnacentral:rRNA from 1 species